UCAUCAAGGUGCCUCUGAAUC
rnacentral:snRNA from 1 species